AGUGAACGCUGGCGGUAGGCCUAACACAUGCAAGUCGAACGGCAGCACAGUAAGAGCUUGCUCUUACGAGUGGCGAGUGGCGGACGGGUGAGGAAUACAUCGGAAUCUACUUUUUCGUGGGGGAUAACGUAGGGAAACUUACGCUAAUACCGCAUACGACCUACGGGUGAAAGCAGGGGAUCUUCGGACCUUGCGCGAUUGAAUGAGCCGAUGUCGGAUUAGCUAGUUGGCGGGGUAAAGGCCCACCAAGGCGACGAUCCGUAGCUGGUCUGAGAGGAUGAUCAGCCACACUGGAACUGAGACACGGUCCAGACUCCUACGGGAGGCAGCAGUGGGGAAUAUUGGACAAUGGGCGAAAGCCUGAUCCAGCCAUACCGCGUGGGUGAAGAAGGCCCUCGGGUUGUAAAGCCCUUUUGUUGGGAAAGAAAAGCAGCAGGUUAAUACCCCGCUGUUCUGACGGUACCCAAAGAAUAAGCACCGGCUAACUUCGUG
rnacentral:rRNA from 1 species